rnacentral:lncRNA from 1 species
AGAAGAUUUUGAAAGGAUGGAGAGAUUUGAAAUUUAAGAAGUUGGAGGAGAUGAAGAGACUAAUCCUAAGAAAAAAUUUAAAAGUUAAGAGUUGAAAAGAUCUGACCAAUGGGAUGCAAUCCAAUAGACAAGAAUGUCAUAUAGAAACCCACUUUUCCCUUGGACUUUAGAAUCAAGCAAUAUCAAUAAACAAGUAGCAAGAUGAAGAGCAAGGCAUCAAAUAAAUAUAGCCACAUCCAAG